ensembl:miRNA aca-mir-302a aca-mir-302a
CCACUACUUUAAUAUGAAAGUACUUGUUUUUGUUCCUUUUAAAAAGUGCUUUCAUAUUUUAGUGAUGG